rnacentral:tRNA from 1 species
GGCCGGUUGGCGUAAUGGCAACGCGUCAGUUUCCGGUGCUGAAGAUUGCGGGUUCGAGUCCCGUGCUGGUCG